GUACCUGAAGAAUAAGCAUCGGCUAACUCCGUGCCAGCAGCCGCGGUAAGACGGAGGAUGCAAGUGUUAUCCGGAAUCACUGGGCGUAAAGCGUCUGUAGGUGGUUUAAUAAGUCAACUGUUAAAUCUUGAAGCUCAACUUCAAAAUGGCAGUGGAAACUAUUAGACUAGAGUAUAGUAGGGGUAAAGGGAAUUUCCAGUGGAGCGGUGAAAUGCGUAGAUAUUGGGAAGAACACCGAUGGCGAAGGCACUUUACUGGGCUAUUACUGACACUCAGAGACGAAAGCUAGGGUAGCAAAUGGGAUUAGAUACCCCAGUAGUCCUAGCUGUAAA
rnacentral:rRNA from 1 species